CCCAAGAAAUACUUGCUGGUGACAUGGGGGAGAAGCAGCAGGCAGCUUCUUACCACUAAGGCUACCAACUGCUGAGCUUCCAAAUCUGUGGUUGUUUUCAACAAUGUCAAAGUUAAGACCUACACUCCCACUCCGGAGAGGGGAGUCACCACCUUCAGCUUGCUAAGGCAAUGGACGUCUUAGUCUGAGUAGAUGAUCGAAGGUAUCCCAAACCAAGAAAUACAAUUUCAGGCAGUUCAAUCGAUGCUCUGGACUUUUUUCAGAUUCCUAAGACACCCCUGGAGGUCACCUUUCGCACACAAAAGAAAAACAGGUGUUAUGAAUCAGAAAAACGUGCAUUUCCAAGUAAUCUCUAUUGCUUAAAUGAUGUGUAACUUGCAUAGAGAGAUUACGUUUAAGAGCUAAAAAACUAAAUAUGCAGAUCAAAAGAAAUCUACAGUUUGCGUGUUUGUCAAUGAGAACAUUUUUAUGCUCAAAUAAUUUAGAUUAAUUGUUUUCUUGUGGCAAUCGUUUUCAGAAUCCUUCUGACUGGUACUUUUAUCUGGUGGAAAAGUAAUGUCAAACCUGAUGUCACAAUUGAAAUAAAUGUAUUUUUCUUAGCAUUGUA